UUUAGUCAGGCAACGAGCGAGACCCACGCCCACAGUUGCCAGCGUACUCUCCGGAGUGACGGGUACACUGUGGGGACCGCCGCUGCUAAAGCGGAGGAAGGAAUGGGCAACGGUAGGUCAGUAUGCCCCGAAUAUCCCGGGCUACACGCGAGCUACAAUGGUUAGUGCAAUGGGUAUCUACCCCGAAAGGGGAUGGAAAUCUCCUAAAGCCAAUCUUAGUUCGGAUUGAGGGCUGCAACUCGCCCUCAUGAAGCUGGAAUCCGUAGUAAUCGCGUUUCAACAGAACGCGGUGAAUACGUCCCUGCUCCUUGCACA
rnacentral:rRNA from 1 species